CUUACUAGAGCAAAGGGUAGGCACCCCAUUCCAGCAAAAAUGGGUGGCUAAGCUAUUGGGGUUUGAUUUUACGGUGGAGUACAGAUGUGGGAGAGAAAACAGAGC
rnacentral:sRNA from 1 species